rnacentral:rRNA from 1 species
UGCAAGUCGAACGAGUCCUUUCGGGGGCAAGUGGCGGACGGGUGAGUAACGCGUGAGAAUCUGGCUCUAGGUUCGGGACAACCACUGGAAACGGUGGCUAAUACCGGAUGUGCCGAGAGGUGAAAGGUUAACUGCCUGGAGAUGAGCUCGCGUCUGAUUACCUAGUUGGUGGUGUAAGGGACUACCAAGGCGACAAUCAGUAGCUGGUCUGAGAGGAUGAUCAGCCACACUGGAACUGAAACACGGUCCAAACUCCUACGGGAGGCAGCAGUGGGGAAUUUUCCGCAAUGGGCGAAAGCCUGACGGAGCAAUACCGCGUGAGGGAGGAAGGCUCUUGGGUUGUAAACCUCUUUUCUCAGGGAAUAAGCAAGUGAAGGUACCUGAGGAAUCAGCAUCGGCUAACUCCGUGCCAGCAGCCGCGGUAAUACGGAGGAUGCAAGCGUUAUCCGGAAUGAUUGGGCGUAAAGCGUCCGUAGGUAGCAGUGUGUGUCUAUUCGUGAAAGGAGUUUGGCUGAACCAAAUAAAGGCGGUAGAAUCUACACAGCUAGAGUGCGUUCGGGGCAGAGGGAAUUCCUGGUGUAGCGGUGAAAUGCGUAUAGAUCAGGAAGAACACCGGUGGCGAAAGCGCUCUGACUAGGCCGCAACUGACACUGAGGGACGAAAGCUAGAGGGAGCGAAUGUGAUUACAUACCCCAGUCGUCCUAGCCGUAAACGAUGGAUACUAGGCGUUGAGAGUAUCGACCCUCUCAGUGCCGUAACUAACGCGUUAAGUAUCCCGGCCUGGGGAGUACGCACGCUAAUGUGAAACUCAAAUGAAUUGACGGCUGCCCGCACAAGCGGUGGAGUAUGUUGUUUAAUUCGAUGCAACGCGAACAACCUUACCAGUGCUUGACAUGUCUGGAAUCUUGGGGAAACUCAAGAGUUCCUUCGGGAGCCAGAACACAGGUGGUGCAUGGCUGUCGUCAGCUCGUGUCGUGAGAUGUUGGGUUAAGUCCCGCAACGAGCGCAACCCUCGUAUUUAGUUGCCAGCACUUCGGGUGGGCACUCUAAGGAGACUGCCGGUGACAAACCGGAGGAAGGUGGGGAGGACGUCAAGUCAGCAUGCCCCUUACGUCCUGGGCUACACACGUACUACAAUGCUACGGACAAAGGGCAGCGAGACUGCGAAGUUAAGCAAAUCUCAGAAACCGUAGUUCAGUUCAGAUCGCAGGUUGCAACUCGCCUGCGUGAAGGAGGAAUCGCUAGUAAUUGCAGGUCAGCAUACUGCAGUGAAUUAGUUCCCGGGCCUUGUACACACCGCCCGUCACACCAUGGAAGCUGGUCACGCCCGAAGUCGUUACCCUAACCAUUAUUGGAGGGGGACGCCCAAGGUAGGUCAGGUGACUGGGGGAAGUCG